CUGCUGCAGGAUCAUUA
rnacentral:rRNA from 1 species